GGCCACGGUUUUUUAUUUUGUUGGUUUACGGAUUUUCCCCAUGAAAAAGUCGGGUCGGUCGGUCGAAAAAAAAAAAAAAAAAAAAAAAAUUUGCAAAAUAAAAAUAUGCAAAAUAAAUAUAGAUUUCACCUUUCUAAUAAUAUGUUUGUUAUGCUAUUUUGUCAUCAUUUCUUAAAUUUUAGUUAGAUGAAAUAUUCUUGCUCAGCUGUCAUAAAUAUCGCAUGUGACAUUGUCUAAUAAUUUCCCGUAAAAAAGGGGUGUGUGCACGGACAAAGACGAAAUUAAA
rnacentral:lncRNA from 1 species